CUGACCUGCCUCGCUUUCAAAUGCUAAGAGGGUCGAGAUAGACAAGAGUCACGGGAGAGAACAAGAGUGUGUGACAGCAAGAGCAUAUGGGGGAGAGAGAAAGAGGGAGGGGACGAGAAAAGGAGGGGAGAGUGAUUUUCAAAAAGGGGUCUGGUAAAUGGAUGGAGAGAGAACGAAGGAGAAUGAGAAUGAGAGAGAGGAUUUCUCCAAGCCCCUUUAUUGAAAGGUGUGAGAUGUUCAAGCAGAGAAUUAAAUAAAUAAACAAGCGGUUGAAUUAGUACAAACUGAAUAAAUGUGGAACUAAAGGAAAGGUUUUUACAGGCUGGUGAUACAUAAAGAAGCUGGAAUACUAACACGGAAAGAACGAGACCAAGCCAGAGGGGGACAGAGAGAGUGAGCGAGAGACGGAGAGCGAGAGAAGGGGAGCGAGAGAAGGGGAGGGACGUUGGGGACUGAGAUUGUUGUCUGCGUAACGCACACGGCUCAAGGAGAGGCUGUUGUAGACCUACUCUUUUCUUCAUUCUUUAUUCCCUUUUUCUCUCCCUCCUCGCCUUUCAAUUUCUUGUUUCUCCUCCUCACUGUCUCGGGAACGUCAGACGUUUGGCCAGCUGGCCCUCAUGUUGCCGCCAGCCCAGAUAUGCCUCUUCUGUGAUGAGACCACAGCAUGCUGGAUCUUCCCCCAGAUCUCACACGCCGUAGGAUAAGCAUCCUGGAGCCAGAGGUGGGUGGUAAGAAUGGGGACGACCACUGUCAGUAUAGAAGACGUUCGGGCGCAAGAGGGUAAAGAGGAGAGAGAGGAAUCCAUCUUGGCCCUGCUGGGAAUCAUCGGCACCUUCCUAAACCUCUUCGUCAUUGUGUUUGUUUACAUCUACACCACCCUGUGAGGAAAAGGACCACGUGGUAGGGGGCAGGUGUGAGGUGGAGCCAGACAGAGGUAUGACAGAGGGGUUGACGUUUCACAGAAAGGAAUGUGGAAGAUGACACUGGGCCGCUCUGGAUGGGUAGUGACGCUACUCUUGAACUUUGACUUCCAAACGUAAAGCAAGCCAGGAGGGCGGAAUAUAUUAUUGCAAAACAUUCUGAUGGACUCCAAGAAAGUGGACUUUACAUCACAAACAGGCCUUUCUGGACACACAGACAAUGAUUUUGGAUACGACAGAUUCAUAACCUUACAGGACAUGAUGGUCAUGGGCCAAGGGACUUUAUGUUUUCCCCAGUAACGGAAAUUACGUCAAGCACUGUCUGGCUUCGAUUGCAAGGACAGACAUGCACAGAAAGAUCCCAUUAGAUUUACACAGGCCAAUGGAAAGGCUGCUUUUAAACUGUACGACUCAUCCACCAAUGGAAAGAGCUUUGCAAUACAGAGAAAGAAUGGAAAAAUUUAAGUAUGAAAUCUUUUUGUAAUAAAAUAAAACGAGACACAAUGGUGGAUCCGUCCGCAAACAUUUGGACCUGUGGACACGAUACUCCUUUUCAUUACAAUCCUUCCCUUUUUCUGACUGGCAGAGGGACGAUAAACAGACGAAUAUCAGUGUGUUUUCUGACUAAAGGUGUUUCUGUGAAAAUGAAAAGCUUUUGUAUCGACAACCGAUUACAUACUAGAUGUACUGUGUCAUAGAAAAUCUCAUAAAUAAAAUGAUAUUCUAUUCUA